rnacentral:rRNA from 1 species
UAGUAAGACCCCUGGAAGACUACCAGGUUGAUAGGUUAGAGGUGUAAGCACAGCAAUGUGUUCAGCUGACUAAUACUAAUAGGUCGAGGGCUUGACCAAUAUAA